GUAAGAGAUGAAGGACCAAGAUGAAAUGCCAGACUUGAGGCUGAAGUAAAAUUCUCAGUACUUGGUGAAUGACAGAGGAUAGAAAAGAAGCAAGAUGGCCUCAGAACUGCUGACCUACAAAAACAGACAGGCUCAAUCCUUUUUUUGGAGACAAGGUCCCUCUCUAUAGUCCUGCCUGUCCUCGAGCUCAUAGAGAUUCAUGCCUCCCGAGUGCUGGAAUUCAAGGCAUGCUCUACCACACCUGCGUCUCCAGCUGCUGCCGUUCCGGGGCUGUGAUCAUCUCCUCUAUCUCCUGCAGCUGCACGUCCUCUGCACCCGUGGCCUGCAUGGACGCGAUGAUGGCCUCUACCCUCUGAGACUUUUCUAGUAGCCGCCUAGCAGACAGUCACAGCUUUAAGGAAUCAUUGCAAAGUCCUCCACCUGCUUCUGCUCCAGAUGUUUCUUCUGCAAUACCAGACGGAAUAUUCUGGCACAGCGAGACCCGAAUCUGGGAAGGGACAAAGCAGCACGAGGGUCUUGCUAUGUAGCCCAGACGGACUUUGAACAUUCGACUUUCUGCCUCAGCCUCCAAACUGCUCCGAUGGGCCGGUGAUUGGCCCGACGCCUUGCACAGUCUUGAGUGAGAUGCUACGGAGCAAUGCCAGCCUCCGGCUCUCUUUAUUUUCAUUAAUGUAACUCACUGAAAAUUCACAGAAAAACUGAUAGACAGUUAUUUCAAUUAGGCAUUGACAAAAUCCUUUACUGUGGUGGCAUAUGCCUCUAAUCCCAGCACCUGGGUGGUGGAAGCAGGAGGACUGCGGGUUCAGUGCUAACAUCUAGGCUACACAGUGAGUUCAAGACCAGCCUGGGCUACGUGAGACUGUUUCAACAACAAAACAAGACGAUCUUUCCGAGGUCACCCUUCUGCUUCCUAACUCGGGGGUCCUGACAGAACAGACAACUAGGAAGGAUACUGAUGACAAACAUCCCUCCUCCGCUGUCGCCAGACUUUCCAAUAAACUCUAGCUGUUAAAGAGAGA